GAGAGUUGGAAAUACCCGAAGCCUGUGAGCUAACUUAAAGAGGCAGCAGUCGAAGGUAGAGCCAAUGAUUGGGGUGAAGUCGUAACAAGGUACC
rnacentral:rRNA from 1 species